GUGAAAGAUCAGUUUACUCGUGCGGCGAAGAAGCUAGCUGGAUAGUGAAAGUCCUUUUUUCGGCAAGAAUAAUAAGAGUGAUACUGUAUUCCAGAGGCCGUGAGCCAGCGUGAGCACUGUGAAGCCCCAUGUAGCAUUUGUUGCUUCACAUGGUCAGGUUUUUUUUCCCUUUGCUUAUUUGGAUUGGAUUGGUUUUGAGGACCUGAGAAGAAUCGAGGAUCCCUUUUCCAGUACUGGAUGGCAAGCCCAGCCCAAAGAGCCGGAUGAACUGGUAGAUUGUAACCCGACUGGUUACAAACACACUGAGUGAAUAUUGAACAUUGAAAGACUGAAAUUGACUUUAAAAAAAGGCACAAAAGACAAUAUAUCCUUGGGUCGACCAUUUGUGGGGUUUAUUUUAUUUUGUUUUCAAUAAGCACGCUCUACUUUUGUUAAAUGUGCACAACCUGCUAAACUUUAAUAAUUGCUAAUAAAUGCAAUUGUGUUUUCUA